ensembl:lncRNA
GAAGAUGACCACCUUCCCGUUCCAGCUGUUCUCGGGGCAGAGCGUUCGACUGGACACCUUAAGACAAUUUGAUUAGCAAGUUAUGAACAGCGGCUGAACUGGUUUCCAGUCCCGCAUGGUCAUUCGUGCAUGUGGGCUCUGAAAGCCACCUGACACUGUCGCCUGCCCCUGGAGCCCUUUUCCUCCUCCUAAUCCGCCGCUAAUGGUUAGCAAUGGAGGCCCAGAGGAAGAUUCAACCAUUGGUGUGUGGAAAUCCCUGCUGGAGUGGGAGUGUCGCGCUUGAGGAAGUGCUCAGCGAAGCGCACCAGAGACAGCAACAGGACCCUCAUGCCAUGUGCACCAAAAUGCUCAAGCUUACAGUACGGGAUGCCACACAGCAGCAGCAGCAGCACGCGCUGACGCCGAAAACGCUUGGCUACAGUGCCCUCUGGUGGAGGUCAGCGGCAUUGGACUCGUGGAAACCUGGGACAGAAGCUCAUCCAGGAAGGACGUCUUGACUCUCACGAAAGCGUCAUCGUUGUCUCUUUGUUUGUGUCCUGCUAUGCCACAGAAAUACUGAUUUUAAAAACACAUUUAAAAAGAGCUCACCCUGGCACCAUGACUGGGACCCUAAAGGUGUUCCAACCAAAUCUAGGCUCCCUUCACUUGGUGUUUGGACUCUUUUGUCCACACCCUGCCUCUUCUGCUAUAGGCAUGAGAGGACAGGAGAUUAUAUAGGAUUAUGUGAUGACUGGUGUUCGUCGAUGAUGAACAAGCCCUCGUUAGCCAGCACUUUAAUGUGCAGACAGAUAGCGCUCUCAUUAGCUCUAGUAAUGACCACUUCACAGUGUACCGCCACUCUAAUUGCAUGUUUUGUUCUCUCUGAGGCUCUGGCCCUGCAGAGCGGAAGACAUCUCUCCCUUUUCCCUUCCAACAAACGAGGGCCGUCGCUCUCUCCAGCUCCAACUGUCUUUUCUCUCCCUCGGCCAUCUAUCACAGUUUGAGGACGCAGCAUAUUUGUGGACACUGUUGUGUCUGAAUGAGGCCCGGCAGAUAAGAAGCUCCCAAAGUCAUGUCGACUAAAUGGAACAGAUGAGGCCGGAUGAAAACGUGGGUAUUAUCCCUGUAGCUAGGGCAACAGAGGUUUCAGCUCAAUUGUACUUCUGUCGAUUAAUUCAGUUAUGCGGCAGUAAUAAUUUUUGGAGAUAUUGAACGAUAUGAUGAAGCACUAGAAAUGUAAAAAACUUAAGAUCUCACCUUUUGAUGCAGAGAAAAAAAAAAUCUGAGUAGCUCCCAGCAUCAAAAGCCCUAAUCAUAUCAUAUUUUCGGAACAUAAAAGCUUCUCUCCUUUCCCCAUUUUAUUUCCUCUGCUCCAGUGAUAUGUCAUGUCAAUCGUUAUAUUAUGCACAAGUGCUGUCUUUUUUUCUUAUUGUGAAUUCCAGAUCGGGUGGGACAUUUGAUAUGGAGGCUCAGAGGAUUCUGAUGCCCUUCUAUUUUCCUUGAUUUCGUUACCAGUGGGACAUUUUUGCCUCCACAUUCUUUCAUGUCCCUCCCUUCUCUGAAAGUAAGUUGUUUAUUCUCCAUGAUGACUAUCUUCGGGCUCAAAAAAAUAUCUUCUGAAAAGACUUCUGAGCAAAUCUGUCCAGGCUUGGUCCCUUUUAAAAUCUGAAGCUCGGGUAGAAUCCGACAAUGGCUUAGACUCCUCGGAGGAGGCAGCUUUCUUUUACACUCUCAGUCAUCUUUGUGAUACUUGUGAACACACGGCUUUAUGACAAGGAGCUAACUUAAAUCAAUUUAAAACAGCUUUUGAAAUGCCUUUCGAUAUGCCAUUGUGUUGACUUGAAAAAGAAUGAAAAGAAAAUCUGAAUUGUAACAUCUGUCGUAUUGGGUGCCCCCCUCCUGUGCAGCUUUCGUCGCACGCACAAUGAAGUAUUGAUCGAUUCAAGUCCAUUUAGGGUUUUGAAAUAAAUGUAAAAAAUAAAAAAAACA